rnacentral:rRNA from 1 species
UACGUAGGGUGCAAGCGUUGUCCGGAAUUAUUGGCGUAAAGAGCUCGUAGGCGGUUCUGUCGCGUCUGCUGUAGCGAAACUCGGGACUUACCCCGGGCUGCAGCGGGUGACGGGCAGACUAGAGUGCGGGUAGGGAGACUGAUCGUGGUGUAGCGGUGAAAUGCGCAGAUAUCAGGAGGAACACCGGUGGCGAAGGCGGCCUCUGGCGCAAUGACGCUGGAGAGCGGAAGCGUGGGAGCAACAGGAUUGGAGACCA